GCAAUCCUCUAUAAAUAACAACAAAAGAAAACGAUCUUAAACAGGUUAAAAUGAGGAUGCCGAUGAAACGUUCACUUUCAUUACAUUUUUUGUGUAUAAAAUUGAUUAUGAUCGUUGCCAUCAUCACUUCUGGUGUCUAUCUUAAUUCUCUUUUGAUGACAAAAAGCAAUAGUGUUGGCGAACACUCAAUUGCCCCUCCAAAAUGUACCAAACAACAUUGGAAAAGUAAGAAAUUCAGCGGGGAUUGCGAUACACGUUCACCUUCAAUUGGAUUAAAAUGUUAUGAUACCUGUAGAAGUGAAGGUGCAGAAACAGGAAGAUGUUUGGUUGCCGGAUGGUGUAAUUGUUACUACACAUAUUAACAUAUUAACGGGUUAAACAAUAUUAGAUAUUUUACUUAUGAUUUGAAUAAGUUGUUAACAUAUUAACGGGUUAAACAAUAUUAGAUAUUUUAAAAUACAAGUUUUACAUGUGGUAUAAUAUGAGAUUAUAUUCUUAUCUA